GCCAGUGUGGUGUAGUGGUUUAAGCAUUAGACUACGGCUGGAGAGAUCAAGGUUUGAUUCCCUGCUUUGCCA